AUAAAAUCUUAGAUUAAACGUCUUCCUCCAUCAGACUGUUCCAAUGUAAGUUAUUUUUCUUGGAUUCUCUUAUGAUGAACCCAUCUGGAACAAAGGUGUGGCUUUUGGAGUCCGGUGCUUAGAUGUGGAGACCUGUGACUAAGCAGGACCUUAGAAGGCAGUAAGUCUGUCAUGACCUGUGUAAUAUGUAUACACAAAUAUGUGCCCAGAACAAAGAUUCAGCUUUUAGCCAUUGAAUGGAUGUUGCCUCAGAGACAAACUGAAACCUUUAAUUUAGAAAGGUCAAGUUCACUCACAGCAUCCAUCCAGAGCCAUCACCAGUCAUCUUGAUUUUUGCUUUUGCCACUGGACUUCAGUGACAUUGGAUAAAAGACAGUCCUUCUGGUAGUGGCAAGGAACUGGAAAUUGAGUGCCCAUCAAUUGGGGAAUGGCUGAAUGAGUUAUGGUAUAUGAAUGUAAUGGAAUAUCAUUGUUCUAUGGGAAGUGACAAGCCGGCUGAUUUUAGAGGGGCCUGUAAAGACUUGCAUGGACUGGUGCUUGGUGAAAUAAACAGAACCAAGAGAACAUUGUAUACAGCGGCAACAAGAUUAUGUGAUGAUCAACUAUGAUGGACUAGGCUCUUUUCAACCAGAUAGUGAUUCAAGGCAAUUUCAAUGGACUUGUGAUAGAAAGAGCAAUCUGCAUCCAGAGAGAGGACUAUGGGGACUGAAUGUGGAUCAAAGCAUAGUAUUUUCCAGUAAGUAAAUAAAUAAAAGAUCCUUUUAUAGAACUCAAAAUAGAAGGCUUAUUAAAGGCAAAAUAACAUAUUGGUAAGAAUAGAAUCUUAGUAAAUAAGCAAAGGAACUUUGUUUAAAAAUAAAACAAGUUUCUCUUGUCUUGAAAGCGAUUGGAAUGGCAACCCCUCUGAACUCUUUCUGGUAAUAAUUAAAUGUCAAGACCACAACAUUUUUAGAAGUUUAGUAAGGGCUUGAUCACAAUGAAGAAUGAAAUAAGAAAGGUGGGGCAUGGAAAAGAAAUAAAGGAACUUGGAC
rnacentral:lncRNA from 1 species